rnacentral:rRNA from 1 species
UACGUAGGGUGCAAGCGUUAAUCGGAAUUACUGGGCGUAAAGCGUGCGUAGGCGGCUAUGUAAGACAGAUGUGAAAUCCCUGGGCUUAACCUGGGAACUGCAUUUUGUGACUGCAUUGCUAGAGUGUGGUAGAGGGAGAUGGAAUUCCGCAUGUAGCAGUGAAAUGCGUAGAUAUGCGGAGGAACACCAAUGGCGAAGGCAAUCUCCUGGACCUGCACUGACGCUCAUGCACGAAAAGCGUGGGGGAGCAAAACAGG